rnacentral:rRNA from 1 species
UUGUGGCGGCCCGUACCCUAAACCGACUCAGGUGGUCAGGUAGAGAAUACCAAGGCGAUCGGGUGAACUGUGGUUAAGGAACUCGGCAAAUUGCCCCCGUAACUUCGGGAGAAGGGGGACCUCUGCUGGUGAUGGGCUUUACGUUCUGAGCUGGUGGGGGUCGCAGUGGCCAGGGGGAAGCGACUGUUUACUAAAAACACAGGUCCGUGCGAAGUCGUAAGACGAUGUAUACGGACUGACGCCUGCCCGGUGCCGGAACGUUAAGGGGACCGCUUAGCCAACGCGAGUUGGCGAAGGUGAGAACUUAAGCGCCGGUAAACGGCGGUGGUAACUAUAACCAUCCUAAGGUAGCGAAAUUCCUUGUCGGGUAAGUUCCGACCUGCACGAUGGCGUAACGACUUCCCCGCUGUCUCAACCACAGACCCGGCGAAAUUGCACUACGAGUAAAGAUGCUCGUUUCGCGCAGCAGGACGGAAAGACCCCGGGACCUUCACUACAGCUUGACAUUGGCGUUUGGAACGUCUUGUGUAGGAUAGGUGGGAGACUGGGAAGCUGUCACGCUAGUGAUGGUGGAGUCAUUGGUGAAAUACCACUCUGGUCGUUUUGAACGUCUAACUCUGGUCCGUGAUCCGGAUCGGGGACAGUGUCUGGUGGGUAGUUUAACUGGGGCGGUUGCCUCCUAAAGAGUAACGGAGGCGCCCAAAGGUUCCCUCAGCCUGGUUGGCAAUCAGGUGUUGAGUGUAAGUGCACAAGGGAGCUUGACUGUGAGACUGACAGGUCGAGCAGGAGCGAAAGCUGGGACUAGUGAUCCGGCAUCGGCGUGUGGAAGCGGUGUCGCUCAACGGCUAAAAGGUACCCCGGGGAUAACAGGCUGAUCUUCCCCAAGAGUCCAUAUCGACGGGAUGGUUUGGCACCUCGAUGUCGGCUCGUCGCAUCCUGGGGCUGGAGUAGUCCCAAGGGUUGGGCUGUUCGCCCAUUAAAGCGGUACGCGAGCUGGGUUUAGAACGUCGCGAGACAGUUCGGUCCCUAUCCGCUGCGCGCGCAGGAGACUUGAAGGGGGCUGUCCCUAGUACGAGAGGACCGGGACGGACGAACCUCUGGUGUGCCAGUUGUACCGCCAGGUGCACGGCUGGUUGGCUACGUUCGGAAGGGAUAACCGCUGAAAGCAUCUAAGCGGGAAGCUCGCCUUGAGAUGAGGUCUCCCACCCCGUGAGGGGGUAAGGCUCCCGGUAGAUCACCGGGUUGAUAGGCCGGAGGUGGAAGCACGGUAACGUGUGGAGCUGACCGGUACUAAUAGGCCGAGGACUUGACCAA